UAAAGUGCUUAUAGUGCAGGUAGUGUUCAGGAAUCUACUGCAUUAUGAGCACUUAAAGU
rnacentral:pre_miRNA from 1 species